GAUUGAAAAAUGACGACUGCUUCGAAUUAUUGCAUCCUCGCCGCUACGAUUUUAAUAUCUAUCAUCACCUUAGGAGUGAACUCGAUAACCAUAUUCACAGCGGCUACAAAAAAAUCGCUCGACCGACCAUCACACAAAUUCAUCCUUGGACUCGCAGUUUCAGAUUGGAUGAUGGGCUUAUUCCUUCCUGCUGACAUUAUAUACAAACUCCUUUACGAAGAUUAUUACAAGAAGGACACAUACUCUAAAUAUUUCUGCCACUGCUUUUUGCCGAUAUUUUUUGUCUUGAUUUCAUGCACAUCCUCCAAUAUAAUGCAGUUGGUCAUUGCGUUUGAUCGAUGCAUGUCUGUCAUGAAACCUGUGCUUCAUCAAAACUUUCUUACAAAAAGGUAAAACAAUAUUUUUAUUUAAAAAAAAAAAGGAAAUUAUUUAUUGGAGAGGCCCAUGACGCUUAAUUACUUUAAAAAUUUCUGUUGCAGAAUUUCAAAUCGUGUAGUAUGCGCAGUCUUCUUGUUUUCCACAGCUGUCAGCUUUCUGCCGAUGUUUUGGAACAAUUUCCCAAACGAAAGAAUAUCCAAGUCUUGCACUCUUUUAACCCUCACUUUGGAAUACUACAGCUACGUAAUCGUUCCGGUUUUUGUAGUUAAUCUCGUCUGCUUGGUUUUCGUCUAUCUACAAAUAUACAAAGUCGCUUCCAGAAGACUUAGAGACAACGCAAAAACGCUCAAAAUGGUCGCCGUGAUUCUGACUUGUCACGUUGUUUGCUGGUCUCCGCACAUGGUGUGCAGGUUCUUCUUAUUGAGCGAUGCCCUCCCAGAUGAGAACAACAAUGAUAACAAAGAUUACGAGAAUCCGGAGAUCUUUUUAAUUUAUGAUUGCUUGUUGUUGUUGGCUCUAUCCAGUUCGUUCUUGAAUGCUUUGUUGUAUUCGUGGCGAACGCCCGAUUUUAAAAAGGCACUAAAAGAGAUUAUUUACUGCAAGAAACAAAAUUAUCCGCUGGAACGAGAUGUUGCGUCAACAAAUGUUCACUCAUGAUGUCUCUCAAUCAGUGGUUUAAAAAUAGCGACUAUAAUAGCUAACUCAAAAUUAAUGUGAAAUAAUUUUAAAUCUAAUCUAUAAAAUGAUAUUUAGCUACCAAAAAAUUGGUCUGACUUUUAGGAAUACAAAACAAAGUGAUUUAAUUGAAAACCCAAUUUUUGCUUGCACAUUUAAAACUAUUUAGCUUGAAGAACAAGUAAAAGCAGGAUUUAUAAAAAUUGUUAAAAAUUAUUUGAAGUGAAAAUUAAUAUUCAAUUAGAAAAAAACCAAUAAAAUUAUCACAAA